GAUGAACGCUGGCGGCGUGCCUCAAACAUGCAAGUCGAGCGGGGCUAUGUAAUAUCGCAAGGUAGAACAUAGCCUAGCGGCGAACGGGUGAGUAACACGUGGGUAACCUGCCUGGAAGACAGGGAUAACGAUUCGAAAGGGUCGCUAAUACCUGAUAAUAUCCUUUCAUCGCAUGGUGAUAGGAAGAAAGGGGAAACCCGCUUUCAGAUGGGCCCGCGUCCCAUCAGCUAGUUGGUAAGGUAAAGGCUUACCAAGGCGACGACGGGUAGCCGGUCUGAGAGGAUGUACGGCCACACUGGGACUGAGAUACGGCCCAGACUCCUACGGGAGGCAGCAGUUGGGAAUCUUAGGCAAUGGACGAAAGUCUGACCUAGCGACGCCGCGUGAGGGAAGAAGGCCUUCGGGUUGUAAACCUCUGUCAUGGGGGAAGAAGUAAGUGACGGUACCCCAAGAGGAAGCCCCUGCUAACUACGUGCCAGCAGCCGCGGUAAAGUACUCUAU
rnacentral:rRNA from 1 species